rnacentral:rRNA from 1 species
GGGGGGGGGGGGGGGGGGGCGGGGGGCAGGCGGGGCGAGCGGCAGCACAGUAAGAGCUUGCGCUUGCGGGUGGCGAGUGGCGGACGGGUGAGGAAUACAUCGGAAUCUACUUUUUCGUGGGGGAUACCGUAGGGAAACUUACGCUAAUACCGCAUACGACCUACGGGUGAAAGCAGGGGAUCUUCGGCCCUUGCGCGAUUGACUGAGCCGAUGUCGGAUUAGCUAGUUGGCGGGGUAAAGGCCCACCAAGGCGACGAUGCGUAGCUGGUCUGAGAGGAUGGUCAGCCACACUGGAACUGAGACACGGUCCAGACUCCUACGGGAGGCAGCAGUGGGGAAUAUUGGACAAUGGGCGCAAGGCUGAUCCAGCCAUACCGCGUGGGUGAAGAAGGCCUUCGGGUUGUAAAGCCCUUUUGUUGGGAAAGAAAAGCAGCAGGUUAAUACCCCGCUGUUCUGACGGUACCCAAAGAAUAAGCACCGGCUAACUUCG